GUUUAGUUCUGUUUCCCCAGUGCCUGGAACUGUUUAGAAAGUCUUUAAUGACAUUUUUGAAUAAAUGCUGAAUGGAACAAUUUAUUUUUUAAGAAGGCCAGUCUUGCUGCCUUGUGGGAAAUGAGAUGGAGACUGACAUUGGAUGGAGACUGGCGUCAGCUAGAGACAUGGCCAGAUGCCCAGUGUAGCUCCAGGUGACCCUCUGGGGCCAGCAGACGGGCAGGUGUAGGGUGGGAGGAACAUGAGUCAUCAGAGAUGAAUCUGAGUCCUGCUUCAGUGCCUGGGUGCACAGAUGGUGAUGCCUUCACUGGGGUAAGGAAGACUGCUAGGAAGCAAGUUGGGAGAGGGGGAGACAAAAGUUCCAUUCUGGCCAUUUUAACUUUGCAAUGCUGCUGAAAUCACGGAGUGGAACAAUGGUGCCCAACAGACAAGCAAACCUGAGCCUGGAGCUCGCAGAGGGAGUGGUCAACGUACACUGAGUGCAUGGGCUGUGAUACGCGCCCAGGAGGAGCCAGACAGAGGACACAGCUGCAGCCAAGUGGUUUCAACAUGCAGAGACCCAGCUGAGAGGAAAGAUCAGAGACAGGUGGGAAAGACAGGCCAGAAGGGGAAGGAGGGGGGUGUGAUAUUCGGGGACCCUCAGAAGGAGUGGUGGCUGCUGAGGCCCUAAGAGGUGGGAUAGCGUGUGUCUGUCGGAUUUGGCGGCACAGAGUUUCAAGGUGCCCUUGACCAGAGAAGUUCUAAAUAUGCCUAGUAUUUCCUCCAAGAAAAGAAAGUCGUCAGGGUUAGGAGGCAGCAGUCUCAGGUUCUGAGCCACGGUUCUGUCUUCUGAAAUCUAGGCACCAGCCCCCAGUGGGUAAAAUUAUGAUGUUUCAGCCUGAAAAACGGCAGUUCACGGUGUCCAGGGAAUCACAGAAGUGGCCUUUUUCUUGGCCUUCUCACUGACCAGGAAAACUAUUCUGAUCGCCUUCUUCCUUUUAAAACUCAGGCUGACAGCCAGCAUCCUUCGGGAUGGAAUAGCCACUGAGGACAGCGCAGCAGAAGACCCGCACUUGUGCUGGGGUGGCGGCUUUGUUUUCCUCACAUCCUGCCACUUGUCCAGCACAGCAUCUCACACUGCUGUCACGACUCAAGUUGCCACAGGGCAGGGGCUUGGUCUACGCUGCAGCUCAGGACAUUGUCAUUUACUCAAAACAGCAAGCAAGACAAAGCAGACUCCUUCAGCAUGGCUUCCGCAAUGAAGGGACCGGUUUGCGGUUCUGGUAUCUCUUCCUCUUCUUAUAAGGACAUCUGCCUUAUUGAAUUAGGGCCCUGCCCCUUAUGAUCUCAUUUAAACGUAAUCAUUUCCUGAGAGGCCCAUCUACAAAGACAGUCACCUUGGGGGCGAGGGCUUCAACAUAUGAAUUUGGGGAGACACAAUUCAUGCAUAUUCAAGCACAUGUGAUAGCAGAGGAAGGUGCAGAUGCUGUGGGAAUGAGAGGAAGGAGAAAUUAUUCUGCAGAAUCAAGGAAGAUGAAGCAUGCAAUGUUAAAUUGGGCCCUGAGGAAUGUGUGGAAUUGGCCACGGAAGAGGAGAAAUCAUUCUAGGAGGAAUGGAGCAACGUCACGCGCAGAGAUAUGAGGGCGUUAGGGAGCUCAGCUCAUGGCCUGGGUGGGGCGGGGGGGGGGGAGGGGAGGGAGGGGGGGGGGGGAGGGGGGCGCGGGGGGAGUGAUGGUGGGUCUGAUGAGAGAGGCCAAAUGAAGGAGGACUCAGCCACGCUGAGGGAUUUGGACUCUAUCCUGUGGGUAAUGGGCAGCCAUGGAAGGUUUUGAGCACAGUAGUGAUGUUAUUAGCUUUACGUUUAGGAAGUUCAUUGCAAGUUGUAAGAUGAACAGACUGGAAAGAGGAAAAAAAGGUUGGAAGUCAUGAAAACAGAGCAGGGAAACAAGUGGAUGUGGUGUGAAUGGAGCAAAAGAAAGGGGCAUCUGUGGGGACUGGCCCCUCAGGGAGACAGCGGUGCCACCUGAGGUGUGGACAGUGGAGCGGGGCUAGCAGUGAGGGGUGGAGGAUCAGAGGAGGCCUGGGGCGGUCAUUGGCAUACAUGGGAUGAUGUGAAGUCUCUGAAAAGAACAUGAUGAGAGGAAGUCCAAUGGGAAGCAGCCAGGUCCUGGGGUGUGCACAGGUUUAUGUCCCCUGUGGACAGCAAGCAGAGCCACAUAUACCCGGGGUCACCAUCCAGCAGGCCAGCACCUGGUCCAGUCGCCUGGGGAGAUGGAACCCUGUGUCCCUGUGUGUGGAGGCCCUGGGGUGCACAGGAAACUGCCCCUUGUCCUGGUCCUGGUCCAGUCACCCAGGGAGAUGGAAGCUGGAGAAGAACCAGCCCAGGCUGGGUGCAGGCGAUGGGCUGGAGGGAUGGGUGUGGUAUGAACAUUAGCACAUCCUGCCCCAAGGCAAAAGUCACUGAGCUCAAUGGGAGAAAGGAAAGCCUCUCCUCUGCUGUGCACACCAGUACCUGAGAUGUGACGCUCCUAACUGGCGAGCAGGGCUUCAGCAGAAACAGACACUUGUGGUUCCCUUUGGGGAGGGGAUUGGAGGGCAGGGGAGGGAAGGAGACUCGCAUUUCACUGAGUGCCCUUUAUACUUUGGGGUUCUUGGCAUCGUGCACAACUUUUUGCCUCUAAAAAGCAAAAUUAAUUUCAUUCUCUUUUGUGUCAUAAAGGAAGAGUCUGAGAAAUGUUAUCCAGUGGCAAGAAUUGAGUUUUUACGUUGAGGAAUUCUAAACAGCUCUUUGGAUUAAAAGCUCUUAAAUGCUGCCCUCUGUGGGCUGUCACCACCACCUUGCCCGGUGCUCAGUGUUCACUCCACUACGUGCAGCUGGAGGCAUUGCAGGCACUUUCCCCCAACCCUCACUCCAUCUGCUCUGACUCACUGAUGAGAUGCUACAAGGCCCCGGAGCCAGGAGCUCUCUCCCCCAGCCCGCCAUCACUGGCUCCAUCUUGGGUCUCCAUCCCAAAGGAAGCCUGAGCAUUAAAUCCAGACAAGGCCCAGGGGUCUCUUCUUACAUCAGCACCCACUUUACAGCAUAAUAUUUGUGUUUGCCAUAAAUAUCACCACACUGUCUCCCCCUAACCACUCAAAGCCAAUUUUGAUGUUUUGCAUUCUGGCAUCAGAACAUGUUUCCUUUUGGCGAAAACUCCGAAAUCCAUCUGUUUCACCUCUUUUUUCUGCUUCAGUUCUUAGAUUCACUCAGACUCAGGAGACGACCCCACUCUCCUGCCCCCUUGAAGGUAAGGUGAGGUCAUGUGUCUUGCUUUGGUCAACAAAAGUAAGGAGGGUGACGUGUCACCUGAGGGGCAGAGUUUACAAGUUGGUUCUUGAUUCUCUAUACUCCUCUUCGCCCGUGAGAGGACAUGCAGGUUCCAUGCGAUCAGGCACCCAGAACGAGGACAGGUGAAGCUGGCUGCCCUGGAGAGCAGACUGGACCUCUCCCACACGACCUCUGUGAGUGAGCAGGAGAGAAAAAGUGUUUGUUAAGCUCCUCGGUUUGGGGGUAUUUGUUACACAGCAUAAGCGGGCCAUCCAGACAGUACACUAUGGCUUUCUUCUCGCAGGUGUCUCUCAGAGACCUGGCCCCUCUCACCUCCUCACGGUGAGAGCUCGCUCAGAGGCAAUGCUCAUGGCAGGCAAGUAGGGAGGUCAGGAGCACAGAAGUGACAACACAUCCUUUCUCUCAAUACAACAUACGCUGUUGCUGGUGGGGCUGGGGUCAGAGCUAUGAACGCAGUUGGGAGUUUUGCUCUCCAGAGCCUUGCUGAAACGCUCUCAGAUGGGCUCUGACGGACCACUCUGACAGCAGAACCGGCGGCCUGGAACUGCACGCACGGAAGCAGAUGCGUGCUCCUCUGCAGCACGCUUCCUGCGGCGCUGGGAGGCGGGCUCCGGAUUUCUGUAACUGGAAGAAAGAGGAGCCGACAGGAAACACAGUGUCAGGAGGAGGCGCGCACACUCCCUUCAGCUUCGCCGAGGCCCCCGCCCCCCGCCUGAGCGCAGUCACUUCCGACCACCAGCUGUACCUUUUCCUUCGUCGGGCUCUGAACUCCUCUGCUGUUUUGCCAGUUAUCCUCCGGGUGCUCGUUAGAGCUACUCAGCUGGGUAAAAGAUAUAGCAUGAGGAGGAGACCAGCAAGGAAAUACUAUAACAGAAACCUCCCUGGUGCACUGUGAGAAUCGAGCGGUUCUCCGCCCUUCAAACGCGCACACUGACUCUGGGGGAAGCGACCACCCGAGUGUUCAAGUCAAUGAAUCGAAAACUUGAGUCAGGAUUGAUUUCCAGAAGAUUAAAAGCAGCGCCCUGUACACACAGUGGGGCGCGGAGACGUCGCAGGCGCGGCGAGGACACAAAGGCAGGCGGUUCCACCGCCCGCCCCGCCGCAGAAGCCGAUAGACGACGAUUCAGAGACGCGCCGCGGCCGCGCGCUGGAAGCGCGACCCGGGAGUGCUGAGUCACGGUGACGCGAGCGGGAGCGGGGCAGCGCCCCCUGCUGUGCGUCUGGCCCGGACGCUGUGUGCUGUUGGGGGCGGCGUCUUCGGCGGCACGCACUGGGGGCCCCGGCUCCCCCUGCGCCGGGUGGGGCGGAGGCACCGCAGGCGUUGGGAGCAGCGGCGGCGCCUCCCCGUCCGGUUCCCCGUCGGCGUCGCUGCGUGGAGGCCGCGGGGCCCGCAGGCCGGCUCCAGCACCUCGGUGCACAGUCGAUGCUGUGACUCUAGUCGGAGACUCAGGGAUGGGCUGACGUGGGGACGGGGGUCCCGCCUCCCCCGUGGAGAAAUUAAGGGUCGCAGGUUGUCUGCACCCUGGAUUUCGGCGGGGGGCGGGCAAGGGGGCAGAGAGAGCGGGGAGCCGCCCCUUCCCCGAGCCCACUUCCUGCUCACACGACCCAAACUGACCUGAAGGCGAGGCCUCCCGCCCGCGCCACCCUCGGGUCAGAGAAUCCCAGGCUCCGCGUGGAGUCUAGACCUGCGCCGUCCAGGAGACUUGUCACGCGAGGCACAGAUAGAGCCGGUGUGCACGCCCACAGCGCCUCGGUUUCUCAAGAGCUGGGAGCCCAGGGCCAGUGGCCGCCCCUGGACAGCACAGGUCUCGCUGGGCUCCUGUUGUGUGAGUUGCUCUCGCUGGCCCAGAGAUUGUCUGAAACCGCAGGCCCAGCGGCUCAGGAGGUGUCUCCACGCAGAGGGAAGUGUGGCUCCACCGAGAGCCGGGAUGAGGCAGCCUGGGGCCGCAGAGGCUGCUCCCCGCCCGCCCAGCCACCCGCAGCGCCAGAGCUGCAUAGAAAUACCCACGUAAGAAAUAGGGAGCAACUGUGUGCAGGCGAGGGGCGAUUUAUGGGCAGAAAUGGUUUUCUGUGUAGGGAAAGCUGUACGUGUGCACCCAUGUGCAUAGACGUGUAUGUGCAUGGUUGUACAUGUGUGUCUGUGUAUAUGUGCAUGUGUGUAUUGUGUGCAGGUAUGUGUCUGUGCAUGUGUCUGUGCAUGGGAGAGAAAGAUGAGAUGUGAGGAAUUCAUGUUUAUAGUGUUUUCUACUUGUUUUUCCGAUGAAAUAUUUUGGGGAGGAGACGUUGCACUGAGUGAAGCUACUCUGGGAGGAGCGCGUGCUAGAGCAAUUCUUCACCGCCUAGGGAGCUGUGCACGCCACACUUAAGGAUCUCUGGUGCACCAUCCAGGCAGCAAGACCCCUUUGCUCUCCUUGGUUGAAGGUCAGAUGACCCCAUCGUGUCCACUGUGAGGGGCCGACCUGGUCUCCCGGCUCAGGAGAGGAGGAGCAGCUCCUCUCCAGGACUGCCCGGGCCUCAGAGGGGACUCCCAGUCACACCAAGUCGGACCCUGAGCCGCUUCUCCUCGGCCAACACGGGGACAGCGAAACUCGAGAAUUCCCUGAUUGAGCAGCACCACCCACCUCCCACAAGGGAGAAACCCUGGACGAUGGCCCUGCUCUAGGGGCACAGGUGUCUUGUCCCAGCUCCCAGCUGGCCCCAGGAGACUGAGGGGAUGCACUAGGGGUCUGAGUUCUGCUCGGCCAUUUAAUAGCUAUUUGACCUUGGGCAUGUCACCGAACCUCUCUGAGCCUCAGUUUACCCCGAUGACAAAUGGGAGAAAUAGAACCUACCUCUUGGGUCUUUGGAGAGGACUGAAGGAAAUCAGGCACAAAAAUGAUAAGAUCAGACCUAGGAGGACCCCAUGUGUGUGAGGGAGGUGCAGCAAGUGCCCUUGCGUCAGCUCAGGGAGCUCAGCACCACCAGGGGCUGACCUGUCUCCCAGGGCCACCCAGCCUGGUUGUGGCCACUCCUCCUGUCCCAUGUCCCAUCAGCCUCAGUCCAUCCCCAAGUCUGUCAGCCCACUCGACCCACAUAGGGACCGAUUGUCUGAGGGGCAGACACCAUUCGUCCACCAAACACACCCUCUUCUCUGACCAUUGCCCACCAUUCGCACCCCUCAUGCUGCAAAGUGGUCACGUUUGAUUAUGUGUUACCUGAGGCAGAGAGAGAGAUAAAGACAGAGACAAGGAGAAAGAGAAUGACGGAGAGAGACAGAGACUUGGGAACAUGCUGGGCAGGGGAUUUGGCCUGGGUUCCAGAUGGUCUGUCUGGGUCAGCCCCUCAGGAGAGUCAGUGGUACCCCUACCUUGCAUUAAUGAGAUGCUCCUGGCACCAUACAGACUCUGCCUAAGCAGGUGCCAGUGGUUUCCGUGGUCCCUGGAGAGCCCCACAACUGGACAGGCACAAGUGGGUGGGGCAGCAGCCUGAGGUGCCCUCUCUCCAUGGAGGAGAGUGACUCCUCCCCGAGACUCCAGCCUGAUGGGCCCCUGUGCUGUGAUGGCCACAGUGCCCAGGGGGCAUGGGGCUUCCUCCCCGGGGUCCACAGUCUUGCUCUUGGUGUAACGGGGACCCCAGCCUCCUGUUUCCACUCAGAGCCCUCAGUCCCCCUCCUGCCUGCCCCAUACGGAUCCUAGUUGGUACCACCCACCAUGCCUGGCAUGAGCUCAGAGCCUGGCUGGCUGCACUCAACUCUAGUCGGCCCAUCCUCCUGUCUAGGCCCCACACAUCUGUCUGUCUGCUGCGGAAGGCUAAGGCCAGCCCCACUUGGUCUGGGCGCUCGCCUGUGACUAGGCAACUUGGACAGGAACUGAGCAUCUGAAUGGGGAAGUGAGGCCCUGGGCGUCCGUCAUGAGGAGCAUGCCCCGGUGCCAGAAGGAAACGGUGGUUCUACUGGUAUAUUUUGUGUUCUGGGUGGUGGCCUCUGGGAUGACCCUGUGGCCUCAGUCCUGGUGUGGGCUGGACCCAGCAACACUUCUGCAUCCUGAGUAGAAAACAGACACAUUGAAUGAGGUGGGAUAUCACUUCCAAGACCAGGUCACAAAGGAAGGAUGAGGCUGCUCCAGCUGGCCCCUCCCCACCUCCCCUUGGCUUCGCUCUGGAGGCUGAGCCUCUGAGGGGAUGGCAGCCCAGGCUGACACCUGGAGCAGAGUUCCUGCUAAGCUGUGCUGGGAUUCCUGAGCCAAAUAUCUGUGCUUUUGAGCUGCCCGGUGAGGGCUGUUUGCUACAUAGAGUGGAGAACACCCAUGAUCAUUACCACAUUUGUUCCUUGUCUAGGUGCGACCUCUGAAGGGCAACUACAGCCCGUCUAGUUGGAUGCUGACCCUGGACCUUGCCCUUGGUGUUAGUCCCAGGAUUGGAGGUAAAUGCUCUCUGCCUGCCCAGCCACGGCCACACCCCACAAGACAGUGGUCAGAGGACAAGGAAGGCAGCAACUGCCGCCAGCAGCAGGGGCGAGAGCCGGGCAGGUGGGUGCUGCUGAUCACAGCUAGGGUGUCCGGAAACCAUCCACGGGACAGGGGUGCCCAUGCCAGCCUGCUCCGCCCUCCCGGGCCCUGCAGCGUGGACAGGCUUCCCUCAGACACUCACACAACACCCACACAGAGCAGUGCUCCAUCCCGGCUGUGAUGACGGGAGAGCACGGAAAGCAGGUGAAGAUCUCUCUGUGCUGCCCACUGCCCUGGGCUGUCCUGUGCCAUCGACAGGGUUGUUCCAGGGGAAUAAGCCCCGUGCGAGGCUGUGUCUCCAGGGCUCACAGAGCCCCACUCUGAUUACAUGAUGUAUGGGCAGCCUUGAUGAGGAGGGCGAGAAGGACAUUCCUGGGCCCCUCAUUGAGGGGGUGGGUGUCUCCAUGGGUGUCACCUGUGCCUUGGGGGUGAUCUGAGGAGGCCUAGUGUUUCUCCAGACUGUCCCCAAGUCACCAGGCAACCACGACCAACUCCAUACCCACAGCCAGCAUCCACCCUUGGUCACCUGCGGGUCCCGAGCCUGUCCUGAGAGAAGGCUCCACCCGAGACCCCAUCCGCUCUUCGGCAACAUUCGUCACAGGUCUUGCCUUGUGGCAGGGCCACCUCCAAGUCAGGACAUCACUCUGAGUCCCUGACGAACUGUCAUGUGAGCUGCAGACGUGCCGCGUCCCCCCAGCCAGCUGCCCAGGAUGAGGGCCUGGCUCCCACUUGGGACCUGACCUCACGCCCGACUGACUUUGACUGGUGGGAGUCAACGUGCACUCCAGAUGUGUGCACCCAGACACAGCUCAAACCAGGCUCCAUACACUCAGGUCCUGUCCCCAUGCAGACACUCCGUGCAGACCCGAGCCCUGUCCCCUUGCAGACCCUCCGUGCAGACCCGGGCCCUGUCCCCAUGCAGACCCUCCGUGCAGACCCGGGCCCUGUCCCCUUGCAGACCCUCCGUGCAGACCCGGGCCCUGUCCCCGUGCAGACCCUCCGUGCAGACCCGGGCCCUGUCCCCGUGCGGACCCUCUGUGCAGACCUGGGCACUGUCCCCGUGCAGACCCUCUGUUCAGACCCGGGCCCUGUCCCCAUGCAGACCCUCUGUUCAGACCCGGGCCCUGUCCCCAUGCAGACCCUCCGUGCAGACCUGGGCCCUGUCCCCAUGCAGACCCUCCGUGCAGACCCGGGCCCUGUCCCCUUGCAGACUCUCACUGUAGACCCAGGCCCUGUCCCCGUGCAGACCCGGGCCCUGUCCCCAUGCAGACCCUCCGUGGAGACCCAGGCCCUGUCCCCAUGCAGACCCUCCGUGCAGACCCGGGCCCUGUCCCCAUGCAGACUCUCACUGUAGACCCGGGCCCUAUCCCCAUGCAGACUCUCACUGUAGACCCAGGCCCUGUCCCCAUGCAGACCCUCCGUGCAGACCCGGGCCCUGUCCCCAUGCAGACCCUCCGUGCAGACCCGGGCCCUGUCCCCGUGCAGACCCUCCGUGCAGACCCGGGCCCUGUCCCCAUGCAGACUCUCACUGUAGACCCGGGCCCUGUCCCCGUGCAGACUCUCACUGUAGACCCAGGCCCUGUCCCCGUGCAGACCCUCUGUGCAGACCUGGGCACUGUCCCUGAGCAGACCCUCUGUUUGUCAAUUGGGUCUGGUUUGUCGGGCAGGUCUAACCCUCUGUCUCUGUGGGAGGCCACAUCCCAUGGCGUGGGCACCUUCCCUUCCUUGCCUGUUGGGAAAUGGCGUUUCUGCAAGUUCUAUUUCAGUAGCAGAAUUUCUGAAUCACUGGCACUGAGCCCUCGGGGAGCCUCUAAAAGUGGCACUUCCGAUCCCUCACUCAGUGGUUAGGAGGCAUUUGCUGGGUUCCUCCCUGCCCCCUGCUGUGGAGGCAGGAAUGACUCAUCCUCCUGCUCCGGGAUUGGAAAGAUCUUCUGACCUAACUGGUGAGUCCGAUGCCAAGUCUGGUCUGGUCCCGACCCAGGCGGCUCUGAGAGAGGAAACCCCACAGCAGAUCUGAGUGUAGGAUGGGGUGUCCCGCCUCCCAGGAGGGAUGGAAUCACCUCACCUCUUGCCAGGUAGGAGCGGACCCCUCCCCAUUAGCUGAGGACUGGAAGUGGCUCCAGCGGUGUCUGAGCAGCUGGCCAGUGUCCACAGGAGAUACUCUCGGCCUCCAGGAGCAAUGACCCUCCGCCCAAGACAGGUCCUCCCUGCCCCUCGCUCCAAGACAGUGUCUCAGUGGAUGCUGCAGAAACCACGCCGCCUUCCACCAAAAGCUCAGGGAAAAUUCCCCGGGCCCUGCACAAAACUCACUAUGGUUUCUGGGGUUCCUGCCCCACUCCUUUACUCUCUUGUCAUUUUCAGACAACAGACCUACAACUCCCGGAAAGUCUGGUUAAAGAUGGAGACCCUCCCAGCCCCCAGGCCUCAGCUCACUGUUGAUCCCUGAUUAACCCUUGAGCUCCAACUGAUGCCUGAAAUGACCGCGGGACUCCUUGUCCUCCUGCGGUCAGCCUGCCCGGCUGUCCAGUCCUGGAACUGCCAGAGAGGCUGGGAGGGACUUGAAAUAACUUGCUUCUGUCUGGAGCCAGGGUGGGGUGUGACUUGCCCUGGGGCUCUCCCCCAAGAAGAGCUGAGGUCGGAAUUUGAGUGCAAGUCGUUUAUUUGGGAGGUGGUCCCAGAAGAGCCAGUUGAGGAGGCAGGGAGGGGACAGCAGAACUCAAGAGCCUCGCCCAGCUGUUGGACAGUGUGGGCACAUUCAGGGACCCCGGGAGAGGAAUCUGGGGUAUCAUCCACAUCUGCCACCCAGGAAAGCCCCUGGUGGGGUCUGGGAGAUGCCAGCGGGAGGUGGGACCCAGGCAGCCAUAAGGCAUCUGACAGCCUUCAGGUCAGACGUCCUUCUUUUCCCUUCAGGGCAACAAGAAGAGGCUGUGUGCUGACCAGCCUUCAGAACACGCUAAGAUGCUCUUGCUCGGGAAGUGGCAGGGGCCGAACACUGUUCGAGUGAUGGAAGAACCGAAGGUCCAGGAGACAAUGGGGAGGACCAUCCACACCACAGGGCUGCACGUCGGUGCCGGGUGGUCCCGUCCACCGCCUGACAGCCUCCUUCCACAGUGAGAAAGGGUUUCCCGGCUUCCAGGUCCUGCGGCACCGUGGAUGGUGGACAGAGCCGACUGCCCGCCGGGCCUUCCGAAGCUGCUGCCGACGGCUUAGGUGGUCGGCCUGCACCCAGCUGACAACUAGCCCAAGAGAGGGGGCUGCAUCUCCUGGGUGGGGACUGUGGGGCCUGCACGGGGAGCUCGGCUGGGUCCGUGUGCUGCGACUUCUCAGGGAUAGGGCAGCCUUUCUCGAUUCGGGGACACCGGAUGCAUCUCAGUGCGCAUCUGGGGUUGGCAGCUGCCGCCUUGGAAUUAAGUCAAAGGCAGAAAGCUGAAUCCAAGACAGGGCACGUCUGAAUCCCUGGGAGAGCUCCCUGGAUGCAGGCUCCGAGCGCUCCUGGAAGGCCUGGCUCUGCAGGUUAAGUGGAAGGCCAGGGCACCUGGACCCAGGGGACCACAGACCAUCCUCUGAGAAGCAAAGCAUGGACGGCGCCUCCUGAAACAGAUGAGCUGCAUCAGGAGGGAGCUGAAGAUCAAAAGCAGGGUUCACGUUUAGAAAUUAGGGCUCUCGGCCGGAGCUCAAGCCGUGUGCCCUGUGCCCUGGUCCUGCUCUCGGGUGGCCCCACUAGGAGGGCUUUUGGGGUCUCAGCUGGUCACUCAGGGCCUCCCGAUGAAGCGCCAGGGUCCAGGCUGCUCCAGGAUGGACCGCAGUGUCACCUCAACCACUGCAGGCUGUCAGGGGUGGCCCUCUGGCUGAGCAGAGGUUCUCCCUGUGACCCGGCCUGAUGACCUGAGGCCAAAGGGGCCCUGGCCGGCCGGUAAAGGCUUAUGGGGAGGCCAGGGGGCUGGAGAGGCCUCACGAAGCCUCAUCUGGGCAGAGCAGGUCAGCACUCACUGCCCUGGGCCGGCCGGGCUCUGCUGACCGCUGGCCCCAGCCCCCCACGCCAGUUCCUCCUUGACCGCCUGCCCCUCUGAGCCUUUACUGGAGCCGCUCCUGGGCCAGGCGGACCCCGUCCAGGCUCUUGGUCAGGCUUGUCUCGUUGAUCCCUCAGGGAGGCUCUGUGAAAUAGGUACCAGUGGCCUGGUUUCCAGGGGCGUGAGCAGACACAGGUGCAGGGAAAUUCAAGCCUCACUUGCUGCCUCUGAACCCAGCGAGCUCUCUGUGUCGACACCCACCACCCUCAGACUGGGUAAUGGGUAACGGGACUCCGGUUGGGCUGUGGAGGCACGGUGGGAAACUGGUUGGCAGAAGGUCCUUGAGCAAAGGGUCCUCCUGAUGUCCUGGGACCCCUCACCAUGUAAGACGUUCCACCCACUCCGAGGGGACGAUGGUGGCACCGACAGAGGCUGAUGGACACUGAACCUGGGGCGGAGCCCACCUUCUCCUCUGGAGACUUCCCCAAACCGGUCUUGCAGGUGGGGGAGUGGGGGGGCGGGAGGGGCCCUCCUGGUGG
rnacentral:lncRNA from 1 species